rnacentral:rRNA from 1 species
GAUUGCCUUAGUAACGGCGAGUGAAGCGGCAAAAGCUCAAAUUUGAAAUCUGGUACCUUCGGUGCCCGAGUUGUAAUUUGGAGAGGGCAACUUUGGGGCCGUUCCUUGUCUAUGUUCCUUGGAACAGGACGUCAUAGAGGGUGAGAAUCCCGUGUGGCGAGGAGUGCGGUUCUUUGUAAAGUGCCUUCGAAGAGUCGAGUUGUUUGGGAAUGCAGCUCUAAGUGGGUGGUAAAUUCCAUCUAAAGCUAAAUAUUGGCGAGAGACCGAUAGCGAACAAGUACAGUGAUGGAAAGAUGAAAAGAACUUUGAAAAGAGAGUGAAAAAGUACGUGAAAUUGUUGAAAGGGAAGGGCAUUUGAUCAGACAUGGUGUUUUGUGCCCUCUGCUCCUUGUGGGUAGGGGAAUCUCGCAUUUCACUGGGCCAGCAUCAGUUUUGGUGGCAGGAUAAAUCCAUAGGAAUGUAGCUUGCCUCGGUAAGUAUUAUAGCCUGUGGGAAUACUGCCAGCUGGGACUGAGGACUGCGACGUAAGUCAAGGAUGCUGGCAUAAU